GACGAACGCUGGCGGCGCGCCUAACACAUGCAAGUCGAACGAGCGGGCGGAGAUUUUCUUUCUCAAGCGAGUGGCGCACGGGUGUGUAACGCGUGAGGAACCCGCCUCAAAGAGGGGGACAAAAGUUGGGAACGACUGCUAAUACCGCAUAAGCUAUCGACAACGGCACGGGUAGAGGGAAAAGGAGCAAUCUGCUUUGAGAUGGCCACGCGUCCGAUUCGCUAGUUGGAGAGGUAAUGGCCCACCAAGGCGACGGCCGGUAGCCGGACUGGGAGGUUGAGCGGCCACAUCUGGGGUGGGACACGGCCCAGAAUCCUACGGGAGGGAGCAGUGGGGAAUAGUGCACAGUCGCGGAAACCCUGAUGGAGCGACGCUGGGAAGAGGAAGAAGUUCGUCGGAUUGUAAUCUCCUGUUGUUGAGGAAGAUAAUGACGGUACUCAACAAGGAAGUGACGGCUAACUACGUG
rnacentral:rRNA from 1 species